UUUUUUUUUUUUUUUUUUUUUAAGGCAUUACAGUGCUAUUAAAUUCGCACGGAUCGGCGAACGAAAGAAAAAAACGAAUUAAACAAAAUAUUAUAAAAGUAUAAUACAGUCGGUAUAUUUGCGGCCGAAACCGCAGGAUCUCACGUUUUUCAUUUAAAAAUCAUAGUCUCGCCAUUGUCUUUGCACGUUUUCAUUUUUCAUUCGUAUUUUAUUUUAUUAUUAUUUUUAUUUUUUUUUUUUUUAUUAGUGUUGACGUGUUAAUAAAUGGUACCGAUUCGGACCGCCACUGGUAAUAGGACUAUAGUACGAUCAUUUAUCUGACAGCCGGAAUCCUAAACGUACACUGCCCGUGGCCCGAGGUCGAAAUCCCCUUUGGCCUCAGAUGGCCGAGAGGGCCGGAGAGAAAUAUAAAAAUAAAAUACAAUUCAUGAGAGUUUAGUGCGUGUAGUGUAUGUGUGUGUCGGUCGGUUCCCGCGAUUCCGGAAACCGAUAUAAUUGAAUUUAC